GGGCCCGUAGCUUAGCAUGGCUAGAGCGCCCGGCUGAUAACCGGGAGGUCGAGGGUUCAAAUCCCUCCGGGCCCA
rnacentral:tRNA from 2 species